CCUACGGGAUGCAGCAGUGGGGAAUAUUGCACAAUGGGCGCAAGCCUGAUGCAGCCAUGCCGCGUGUGUGAAGAAGGCCUUCGGGUUGUAAAGCACUUUCAGCGGGGAGGAAGGCGUUAAGGUUAAUACCUUUGCUCAUUGACGUUACCCGCAGAAGAAGCACCGGCUAACUCCGUGCCAGCAGCCGCGGUAAUACGGAGGGUGCAAGCGUUAAUCGGAAUUACUGGGCGUAAAGCGCACGCAGGCGGUUUGUUAAGUCAGAUGUGAAAUCCCCGGGCUCAACCUGGGAACUGCAUCUGAUACUGGCAAGCUUGAGUCUCGUAGAGGGGGGUAGAAUUCCAGGUGUAGCGGUGAAAUGCGUAGAGAUCUGGAGGAAUACCGGUGGCGAAGGCGGCCCCCUGGACGAAGACUGACGCUCAGGUGCGAAAGCGUGGGGAGCAAACAGGAUUAGAUACCCGCGUAGUC
rnacentral:rRNA from 1 species